rnacentral:rRNA from 1 species
UACAGAGGGGGCAAGCGUUGUUCGGAAUUACUGGGCGUAAAGGGCGUGUAGGCGGCCUUCUAAGUCGAACGUGAAAUCCCCGGGCUCAACCCGGGAACUGCGUCCGAUACUGGGAGGCUUGAAUCCGGGAGAGGGAUGUGGAAUUCCAGGUGUAGCGGUGAAAUGCGUAGAUAUCUGGAGGAACACCGGUGGCGAAGGCGGCAUCCUGGACCGGUAUUGACGCUGAGGCGCGAAAGCCAGGGGAGCAAACGGG